GGGUUGUGAGGUUAAGCGACUAAGCGUACACGGUGGAUGCCCUGGCAGUCAGAGGCGAUGAAGGACGUGCUAAUCUGCGAAAAGCGUCGGUAAGGUGAUAUGAACCGUUACAGCCGGCGAUGUCCGAAUGGGGAAACCCAGUGCAAUUCGUUGCACUAUCGUUAACUGAAUACAUAGGUUAACGAGGCGAACCGGGGGAACUGAAACAUCUAAGUACCCCGAGGAAAAGAAAUCAACCGAGAUUCCCCCAGUAGCGGCGAGCGAACGGGGAGCAGCCCAGAGUCUGAAUCAGCUUGUGUGUUAGUGGAACGGUCUGGAAAGUCCGACGGUACAGGGUGAUAGUCCCGUACACCAAAAUGCACAGGUUGUGAACUCGAAGAGUAGGGCGGGACACGUGGUAUCCUGUCUGAAUAUGGGGGGACCAUCCUCCAAGGCUAAAUACUCCUGACUGACCGAUAGUGAACCAGUACCGUGAGGGAAAGGCGAAAAGAACCCCGGCGAGGGGAGUGAAAAAGAACCUGAAACCGUGUACGUACAAGCAGUGGGAGCACCUUAGGGUGUGACUGCGUACCUUUUGUAUAAUGGGUCAGCGACUUAUAUUCUGUAGCAAGGUUAACCGUAUAGGGGAGCCGCAGGGAAACCGAGUCUUAACUGGGCGUUAAGUUGCAGGGUAUAGACCCGAAACCCGGUGAUCUAGCCAUGGGCAGGUUGAAGGUUGGGUAACACUAACUGGAGGACCGAACCGACUAAUGUUGAAAAAUUAGCGGAUGACUUGUGGCUGGGGGUGAAAGGCCAAUCAAACCGGGAGAUAGCUGGUUCUCCCCGAAAGCUAUUUAGGUAGCGCCUCGUGAACUCAUCUUCGGGGGUAGAGCACUGUUUCGGCUAGGGGGUCAUCCCGACUUACCAACCCGAUGCAAACUACGAAUACCGAAGAAUGUUAUCACGGGAGACACACGGCGGGUGCUAACGUCCGUCGUGAAGAGGGAAACAACCCAGACCGCCAGCUAAGGUCCCAAAGUCAUGGUUAAGUGGGAAACGAUGUGGGAAGGCACAGACAGCCAGGAUGUUGGCUUAGAAGCAGCCAUCAUUUAAAGAAAGCGUAAUAGCUCACUGGUCGAGUCGGCCUGCGCGGAAGAUGUAACGGGGCUAAACCAUGCACCGAAGCUGCGGCAGCGACACUAUGUGUUGUUGGGUAGGGGAGCGUUCUGUAAGCCUGCGAAGGUGACCUGUGAGGGUUGCUGGAGGUAUCAGAAGUGCGAAUGCUGACAUAAGUAACGAUAAAGCGGGUGAAAAGCCCGCUCGCCGGAAGACCAAGGGUUCCUGUCCAACGUUAAUCGGGGCAGGGUGAGUCGACCCCUAAGGCGAGGCCGAAAGGCGUAGUCGAUGGGAAACAGGUUAAUAUUCCUGUACUUGGUGUUACUGCGAAGGGGGGACGGAGAAGGCUAUGUUAGCCGGGCGACGGUUGUCCCGGUUUAAGCAUGUAGGCUGGUUAUCCAGGCAAAUCCGGAUAAUCAAGGCUGAGGUGUGAUGACGAGGCACUACGGUGCUGAAGUAACAAAUGCCCUGCUUCCAGGAAAAGCCUCUAAGCAUCAGGUAACAUCAAAUCGUACCCCAAACCGACACAGGUGGUCAGGUAGAGAAUACCAAGGCGCUUGAGAGAACUCGGGUGAAGGAACUAGGCAAAAUGGUGCCGUAACUUCGGGAGAAGGCACGCUGGUGUGUAGGUGAAGCCCCUGCGGGUGGAGCUGAGACCAGUCGAAGAUACCAGCUGGCUGCAACUGUUUAUUAAAAACACAGCACUGUGCAAACACGAAAGUGGACGUAUACGGUGUGACGCCUGCCCGGUGCCGGAAGGUUAAUUGAUGGGGUUAUCCGUAAGGAGAAGCUCUUGAUCGAAGCCCCGGUAAACGGCGGCCGUAACUAUAACGGUCCUAAGGUAGCGAAAUUCCUUGUCGGGUAAGUUCCGACCUGCACGAAUGGCGUAAUGAUGGCCAGGCUGUCUCCACCCGAGACUCAGUGAAAUUGAACUCGCUGUGAAGAUGCAGUGUACCCGCGGCAAGACGGAAAGACCCCGUGAACCUUUACUAUAGCUUGACACUGAACAUUGAGCCUUGAUGUGUAGGAUAGGUGGGAGGCUUUGAAGCGUGGACGCCAGUCUGCGUGGAGCCAACCUUGAAAUACCACCCUUUAAUGUUUGAUGUUCUAACGUUGGCCCCUAAUCGGGGUUGCGGACAGUGUCUGGUGGGUAGUUUGACUGGGGCGGUCUCCUCCCAAAGCGUAACGGAGGAGCACGAAGGUUAGCUAAUCCUGGUCGGACAUCAGGAGGUUAGUGCAAUGGCAUAAGCUAGCUUGACUGCGAGCGUGACGGCGCGAGCAGGUGCGAAAGCAGGUCAUAGUGAUCCGGUGGUUCUGAAUGGAAGGGCCAUCGCUCAACGGAUAAAAGGUACUCCGGGGAUAACAGGCUGAUACCGCCCAAGAGUUCAUAUCGACGGCGGUGUUUGGCACCUCGAUGUCGGCUCAUCACAUCCUGGGGCUGAAGUAGGUCCCAAGGGUAUGGCUGUUCGCCAUUUAAAGUGGUACGCGAGCUGGGUUUAGAACGUCGUGAGACAGUUCGGUCCCUAUCUGCCGUGGGCGCUGGAGAAUUGAGGGGGGCUGCUCCUAGUACGAGAGGACCGGAGUGGACGCAUCACUGGUGUUCGGGUUGUCAUGCCAAUGGCACUGCCCGGUAGCUAAAUGCGGAAGAGAUAAGUGCUGAAAGCAUCUAAGCACGAAACUUGCCCCGAGAUGAGUUCUCCCUGAGACUUUAAGUCUCCUGAAGGAACGUUGAAGACGACGACGUUGAUAGGCCGGGUGUGUAAGCGCAGCGAUGCGUUGAGCUAACCGGUACUAAUGAACCGUGAGGCUUAACCUUACAACGCCGAAG
rnacentral:rRNA from 1 species